rnacentral:rRNA from 1 species
UGGGGAAUUUUGUACAAUGGGGGAAACCCUGAUCCAGCCAUCCCGCGUGUGCGAUGAAGGCCUUCGGGUUGUAAAGCACUUUUGGCAGGAAAGAAACGUCAUGGGUUAAUACCCCGUGAAACUGACGGUACCUGCAGAAUAAGCACCGGCUAACUACGUGCCAGCAGCCGCGGUAAUACGUAGGGUGCAAGCGUUAAUCGGAAUUACUGGGCGUAAAGCGUGCGCAGGCGGUUCUGAAAGAAAGAUGUGAAAUCCCAGAGCUCAACUUUGGAACUGCAUUUUUAACUACCGGGCUAGAGUGUGUCAGAGGGAGGUGGAAUUCCGCGUGUAGCAGUGAAAUGCGUAGAUAUGCGGAGGAACACCGAUGGCGGAGGCAGCCUCCUGGGAUAACACUGACGCUCAUGCACGAAAGCGUGGGGAGCAAACAGG